GACGAACGCUGGCGGCGUGCUUAACACAUGCAAGUCGAACGGAAAGGCCCUGCUUUUGUGGGGUUCUCGAGUGGCGAACGGGUGAGUAACACGUGAGUAACCUGCCCUUGACUUUGGGAUAACUUCAGGAAACUGGGGCUAAUACCGGAUAGGAGCUCUUGCUGCAUGGUGGGGGUUGGAAAGUUUCGGCGGUUGGGGAUGGACUCGCGGCUUAUCCGCUUGUUGGUGGGGUAGUGGCUUACCAAGGUUUUGACGGGUAGCCGGCCUGAGAGGGUGACCGGCCACAUUGGGACUGAGAUACGGCGCAGACUCGUACGGGAGGCAGCAGUGGGGAAUAUUGCACAAUGGGCGGAAGCCUGAUGCAGCAACGCCGCGUGCGGGAUGACGGCCUUCGGGUUGUAAACCGCUUUCGCCUGUGACGAAGCGUGAGUGACGGUAAUGGGUAAAGAAGCACCGGCUAACUACGUG
rnacentral:rRNA from 1 species